GGCAUAAGGAGUAUUUGAACGAGCUAACCAACCGCAAUAAAUGGAGCAAGGGUGGACACAGCAUCCAAAAGGGCACAAUCGUCAUCCUCAGAGAGGACAACGUUCCCUCCAUGCAUUGGCCUCUGGGCCGAGUUAUCAAGGUUCAUCCAGGCGCCGAUGGUGUCAUCCGGACAGCUACAGUUCAGACGGCAAAGAGCAUUUUGGAUCGGGGCGUCAAAAGGCUUGUCCCACUGCCAAUUCAACCCGAUCUCGAGAAACCCGAACAAAUAGCCACCGAGACGAAAUAAGAUGGGAACUUGAACCACACCUCGCUAGUUUGAUCGGUACCCUCUCAACGGGGGGAGAAUGUUACGCCAUGCGGCUUACCAUAGGUCAUAUUCUUAACUAUCGAUCGCGGCACUAUAAUGUCGCAGACGGACCGUCGCGUCUACCCGGCAAACAAACAUUGUAGUGGCAAGCGCAUGGUUCAUUAAGCAGGGCGACUUCCAGAAACGUCGACUCGUGGUCGUUAUUUUACCUCGCGUAAAAGAAUGUGGCGUGAUCCGAACGUAGUGGGGGUCGCCUUCCAGAAAAAACGAAAAAAAUCGAAAGGCGUUCAGAACUUUUCGAGAAGUCGAACCGUCAACACAUGUGGUAUGUCGCGCAUUACUUAUCAACCAAAACGCAGUUACAUUUUUUUUGUUCCAUUUAUAUCUUUCUAGUUAAUAAGUUGUUGAAAUAAACAUUAAUUUAUUUGUGUUAAUUCUGUGGAAUUUCAUUGAACUACCCUUAUUAUCAUAAUCGAAAUAAGGGGAUCGAUCAGUUCGUGGCGUCGAUUAUUUAAUCGUAACGGGAACUUACAACUCUCGUUGACGUGCUAUCUCGCGAUCGCGUCUCUCCGCGAACGGUCGAAACAAAAUGAUUCACUAAAAACUGUCCUGAAUUCCUAAGAAUUUAUUUACCGCAAAACUGACAAAGUGUUUAUUUAAAAAAUGAGGUUGAAGGUAGUCCUUUUCUUUCAUUUCAUUCAUUUUCAUUUUCUUUCUUAAGUAUGGCUAACACAAUAUCUAAUCAAUUAAAAUUUUAUAUUUUCACGUGAGUUUCUUUAGAUAAUUAUUAUCAACAUGAUGACUAACUCUUACGGAUUAAUACGUGUCUGUAGGGCAAUCCGGUGGACUUGAUCGGCUUUUUACUUCGAAAGUUGAGUAAUCGGUGUCGCUUUCUUACGCAUCUUUGAACUGUAUAAAUGUUUUAAAAUUGUUUGAUCCAGAAUGUACCACACCGGACAAUCAAGAAGGCAGGUGCCUUGACUACAGAAAAUACGAUCAGUGUGCAGAUACCAGGGCAAUGUUACGAUCGUUUGCUGUCCGAACGAUCCAAACAAAGACAAGAGAGAAAUUUUAAUAAAAACUGUGUAUAAGUAUAAGGCUUUGCGACCACCAUACUGUGGUUUUAGCAACGUCUCUCAUACCAGGGUGGUCGAUGGUAAACCAGCUGAACUUGGUACGUUUUAUGUCUUUCUUUCCGAUUAAUAAUAAGCCAUUUACUGCAAAGAAUGAACUUUAAAGGCAUUAAACAGCACAUCAAUGAAGAGUAUCUUUUUGCUUGAAAUAAAAAAUUGAUAUAGGAGUAAUAAUAUGGAUAGAGAUCAAAAACUGUUAGGGCAGAAAUUACACGUUUGAACUUUAUAGUUCAGUAUAGUUCAAAUAGAAAUUAUAUAGAAUUAUUUAAUAAUUUGUAUUCCACUGGAAUAAAAAUUUAAUUUCUGUCUUUAUCAAAUCUCUAUUUCAGAGUAUUUGUACGUAUGUACUUAUCGUCUGCUGUAUGAUCGAAUAUCG